ensembl:snRNA U1 U1 spliceosomal RNA
AUACUCAGCUGGCAGGGGACAUACUAUGAUCAAGAAGAUGGUUUUCCCGUGGCAAGGCUUAUCCAUUUCACUCCAGAUGUGCUGAUCCAUCUGAUUUCCCCCAAAUGUAGGAAACUCAACCACACAAUUUGUGAUAGUGGGUGACUGCAUUCCUGCUUUCCCCUA